rnacentral:piRNA from 1 species
UAACUGGGAUUCAAGUUCUGCCUCACGAUGGC